GAGGAUCUCUCGAUACCGCUUCCCCUCUCUGGUGGACUCGACCCCCUCCCACAAGUAUAAGUGCCAGCCACCCCACCUCUCGGCUCAUCAGAAACUGGAUGCGAACUCGAAGCCACCGUAGCCAUGCAAGCAACACACGCCGGGGAGGGAGCUCAGUGUCACCGUGGGUAUUUCACGCUUGUGCGUCCGACCGAGGUGAUUGGAGGGUCGAGGAGGUGCUCGCAGAAGCAUACACUACAGAAUCGGGGCACACGGCGUUGAGUCGGUUUGGAGAUUUUUCACCAGCGGACGGAUCGUCGCCGCGUUUCGCCCUGCCUUGGAUCGGAGCUGCUAUGCUGCAAUAGCUGGUAAGAUGCUUGCCCUAUCGUUCAUCUUCCUUCCCUACAUGGUUUGCUUCUAAGUUCUAGCGGGUUGGGGCGCUAGGAGGAAGUCGUUGUGCCCUGCCAUAGAGCCAUGGAGAGCCGGUGUUGGGAGUUUGAGCAGGAUAACUGGUGAUGAGAAGGGUUGUCAUGUUCAGGAAAGUUAGGGCUUCGUUUUCAUGUGAUCAGAAUCGAUAUCCGAGCACGGGGGCAUCGGGUGGCGUGCACCGGCGAGCUGCUCAGUCGAGGAGGCGAGCGCGCCACCAUUGUGUUCGGUCAAGGGGAAGAAGACACACUUGAACCGUAGGAUGGCUCAGGAACUGCUAUGAUUAGAUUAGGUGAUACCCCGUUCGAUGCAUAAUAUCAGAGCCACCAAUCGGUCGAUGGGGCGGAUCUGGCUAAUUUGUGGCGUGCUGUCGACUGUGGAUCUCAGAUCUAAGGACCCCAAAAGCGUACCGGUUUGGUAAAUGCAAGAUCUAAUCUGAGCCUUCGAAUUUAAAU
rnacentral:lncRNA from 7 species